GAUGAACGCUGGCGGCGUGCCUAACACAUGCAAGUCGAGCGCGUCUGAUUUGAUGCUUGCAUUGAUGAAAGAUGAGCGGCGGACGGGUGAGUAACGCGUGGGUAACCUGCCCUAUACACAUGGAUAACAUACUGAAAAGUUUACUAAUACAUGAUAAUAUAUAUUUACGGCAUCGUAGAUAUAUCAAAGUGUUAGCGGUAUAGGAUGGACCCGCGUCUGAUUAGCUAGUUGGUGAGAUAACUGCCCACCAAGGCGGCGAUCAGUAGCCGACCUGAGAGGGUGAUCGGCCACAUUGGAACUGAGACACGGUCCAAACUCCUACGGGAGGCAGCAGUGGGGAAUAUUGCACAAUGGGCGCAAGCCUGAUGCAGCAACGCCGCGUGAACGAUGAAGGUCUUCGGAUCGUAAAGUUCUGUUGCAGGGGAAGAUAAUGACGGUACCCUGUGAGGAAGCCCCGGCUAACUACGUGCCAGCAGCCGCGGUAAUACGUAGGGGGCUAGCGUUAUCCGGAUUUACUGGGCGUAAAGGGUGCGUAGGUGGUCUUUCAAGUCGGUGGUUAAAGGCUACGGCUCAACCGUAGUUAGCCUCCGAAACUGGAAGACUUGAGUGCAGGAGAGGAAAGUGGAAUUCCCAGUGUAGCGGUGAAAUGCGUAGAUAUUGGGAGGAACACCAGUAGCGAAGGCGGCUUUCUGGACUGCAACUGACACUGAGGCACGAAGGCGUGGGUAGCAAACAGG
rnacentral:rRNA from 1 species